UGUAAGAACAAGAACUUGAAGAAUGAAAAUCAAAUUCUAAUAGAUGAAAAACUGAAACUAACUAGUAAAACUGAAAUCUUAAUUAAAGAAAAUCAAGAACUAAAUCAGAAAAACCAACUUCUCAUUGAAAGCCAUGAUAAAUUUAAGAAAAAUAAUGAAUUGCUUUCAGAAGAUAACAAAAGAUUAACUAAAGAAGUUGACAAAUUAAAACCUAUUGUUGAAAGAUUUACUUUGAGCUCUGAAAAGUUGAAUCUAAUGAUAAAUAAUCAAAGAGCUGAAUUUGAUAAUAUUGGAUUGGGAUGUCAACCUUGGUACACCCAAAAAUCUUUCAAGAAUAUGUUUGUUAAAACAGUUUCUAAUCAUUUUAAAAUAGAUUCUUAUAAUGCUGAUAAACAGGAACAAAGGUUAUGCAAAAUCUCUUCUGUUCCUAAAUCUGUACAUUGCAAAUU
rnacentral:lncRNA from 1 species